rnacentral:misc_RNA from 1 species
AUGAAGAACGCAGCGAAAUGCGAUACGUAAUGUGAAUUGCAGAAUUCAGUGAAUCAUCGAAUCUUUGAACGCAUAUUGCGCUCUCUGGUAUUCCGGAGAGCAUGCUUGUUUGAGUAUCAGUAAACACCUCAACUCCCCUUUCUUUUUUUGAAAUGGGAGCUGGACUUGAGUGAUCCCAACGCUUUUCUCACCGAAAAGUGGCGGGUUACUUGAAAUGCAGGUGCAGCUGGACUUUUCUCUGAGCUAAAAGCAUAUCUAUUUAGUCUGCCUAAAAAACAGAUUAUUACCUUUGCUGCAGCUAACAUAAAGGAGAUUAGUUCUUGUGCUGACUGAUGCAGGAUUCACAGAGACAGCUUCGGCUGGCCUUUGUAAACUCGAUCUCAAAUCAAGUAAGACUACCCGCUGAACUUAAGCAUAUCAAUAAGCGGAGGA